rnacentral:rRNA from 1 species
UUAAGUGACGAUAGCCUAGGAGAUACACCUGUACCCAUGCCGAACACAGAAGUUAAGCCCUAGAACCCCGGAAGUAGUUGGGGGUUGCCCCCUGUGAGAUAUGGAAGUCGCUUAGC